CAAUAGCGUAUAUUUAAGUUGUUGCAGUUAAAAAGCUCGUAGUUGGAUUUCGGAUGGGAUUUGCCGGUCCGUCGUUACGAUGAGCACUGGCCAGUCCUAUCUUGUUGUCGGGGACUAGCUCCUUGGAUUCACUUCCUGGGACUAGGAGCUGACGAGGUUACUUUGAGUAAAUUAGAGUGUUCAAAGCAAGCCUACGCUCUGAAUACAUUAGCAUGGAAUAACACGAUAGGACUCUGGCUUAUCUUGUUGGUCUGUGAGACCAGAGUAAUGAUUAAGAGGGACAGUCGGGGACAUUCGUAUUUCAUUGUCAGAGGUGAAAUUCUUGGAUUUAUGAAAGACGAACUUCUGCGAAAGCAUUUGUCAAGGAUGUUUUCAUUAA
rnacentral:rRNA from 1 species